CCUACGGGAGGCAGCAGUGGGGGAUAUUGCACAAUGGGGGGAACCCUGAUGCAGCGACGCCGCGUGAGCGAAGAAGUACCUCGGUAUGUAAAGCUCUAUCAGCAGGGAAGAAAAUGACGGUACCUGACUAAGAAGCCCCGGCUAAAUACGUGCCAGCAGCCGCGGUAAUACGUAUGGGGCAAGCGUUAUCCGGAUUUACUGGGUGUAAAGGGAGCGCAGGCGGCCUGCCAAGUCUGGUGUGAAAACCCGGGGCCCAACCCCGGGCCUGCAUUGGAAACUGGCGGGCUGGAGUGUCGGAGGGGCAG
rnacentral:rRNA from 1 species